CCAAACUUGGUCAUUUAGAGGAAGUAAAAGUCGUAACAAGGUUUCCGUAGGUGAACCUGCGGAAGGAUCAUUACUGUGGCGUGGCCUCGGCCAACGCAACACCCCCUGUGUACCAUCCGGUUGCUUCGGCGGGCCGCCUCGGCCGCUGCCCUCGGGCGGCGUGUGCCCGCCGGAAGACCCUUAAACGCUGGCUUUGGCGGUGAUGUCCGAGCAGAUGAUAAUCAUCAAAACUUUCAACAACGGAUCUCUUGGUUCCGGCAUCGAUGAAGAACGCAGC
rnacentral:misc_RNA from 1 species